AGAGUUUGAUCAUGGCUCAGGACGAACGCUGGCGGCGCGCUUAACACAUGCAAGUCGAGCGAUAACCAUGGCUUCGGCCAUGGGGAGAGCGGCGAACGGGUGAGUAACACGUGAGCGAUCUGCCCUCGACACUGGGAUAGCCCGGGGAAACCCGGAUUAAUACCGGAUAGCCUCUCGGGUCUACGGGCCCGUGAGAAAAGAUGGCUUCGGCUUUCGGUUGAGGAGGAGCUUGCGGCGGAUUAGCUUGUUGGUGAGGUAACGGCUCACCAAGGCGACGAUCCGUAGCUGGUCUGAGAGGACGAUCAGCCACACUGGGACUGAGACACGGCCCAGACUCCUACGGGAGGCAGCAGUGGGGAAUCUUGCGCAAUGGGCGAAAGCCUGACGCAGCGACGCCGCGUGAGGGAAGAAGGCCUUCGGGUUGUAAACCUCUUUCAGGAGGGACGAAGCUACUCGGGUUAAUAGCCCAGAGGGUGACGGUACCUCCAGAAGAAGCCCCGGCUAACUACGUGCCAGCAGCCGCGGUAAUAC
rnacentral:rRNA from 1 species